UAUGUGGUUUAAUUCGAAGCAACGCGAAGAACCUUACCAGGGCUUGACAUACCCUUGAAGCAGCUAGAGAUAGCUGUGUCCUUCGGGACAAGGAGACAGGUGGUGCAUGGUUGUCGUCAGCUCGUGUCGUGAGAUGUUGGGUUAAGUCCCGCAACGAGCGCAACCCCUGUGGUUAGUUGCCAUCAUUCAGUUGGGCACUCUAGCGAGACUGCCGGUAAUAAACCGGAGGAAGGUGGGGAUGACGUCAAAUCAUCAUGCCCCUUAUGACCUGGGCUACACACGUGCUACAAUGGUUGGUACAACGAGUUGCGAGUCGGUGACGGCGAGCUAAUCUCUUAAAGCCAAUCUCAGUUCGGAUUGUAGGCUGCAACUCGCCUACAUGAAGUCGGAAUCGCUAGUAAUCGCGGAUCAGCACACCGCGGUGAAUACGUUCCCGGGCCUU
rnacentral:rRNA from 1 species